GCCCCCCUCUACUCGCCCCUCUACAUGUCGAGGCCGCACUACCCUCUAGACGUCGCUCUGCCUCCCGAUGCCGCACUGCCCUCUAGACGCCGCUCUGCCUCCCGAUGCCGCACUACCCUCUAAACGUCGCUCCGCCUCCCGAUGCCGCAUUCCCCUCUAGACGCCGCUCCGCCUCCUGAUGUGCCCUACUGGACAGAAAUUUUGGCCGAGUUCGUCGUCGUAGACCGUCCGCCUCUCCACAGCUCCUCCCCUUCCAUUUUUUUUUUUUAUUCCCCAGCCGCCCCUAUGCGUCCUCAUUCUUCUUAGGCUCCGCAUCUCCACCUCUUCUCCUCCUCUUAACCCUCUCUCCCACUCCCUUUCCCUCUUCCUCUACAUCAUCCAACAUAUUUUUAAUGCCAUUUUUGUGGGAAAAAAGUAUACUCUUUUUUUUUUUUUUGCUGUAAAUUGUUCUUUUUUAGUUUAUUCGGGUUUUGGUAGGUGCAAAUAGGGUCUUGCGGCGGAGAGGGACGAGGCGUCGAGGGGAGUUUCUUCUGGUGGUGCUGGUGUUGAUUCUAUUGGAGGGAUGUUGGCAGGAUAUGGCAUGGUUCAUCUUCCUACCAAUUCUGUAGAUUUCAGUGCAGUGCAAGGUAGUAAAGGCUCCUCCAAGAGCUUCCCGAAGCAUGAGACUAGACAUGUUUCAGAGCAUACGUAGCCUUGAGAAAGAAUGAACGAGAGCAACAUGUCCUCGAUUUCCUUACCUCCACCCUUCGCCUGAUAAGUUCGCCGCCCCCACGACGUCCGCCGAACUCGAAAUCAACAAUAGCACCACCCUCCGCUGAGCCGAGCCACUAUCGUAGCGAAUCCCCUCGCUUGUGGCAGCGACGUUGAGGGACAACUCCUUCGAUCUCUACCUCUCUUUGUUUUGCUCUAUAAUUAUGAUGUAUUUUCGGUGAUUUCGAGAUGAUUUAGGUGCAAGAUUGUAGGCAGCUGAGGAUUUGGCAUUGAAGAAUAUGUUGAAGGAGUUCUUGAUUCGGAGGUCGGCAUUCAGAAACUUGCCCUUGAAAGUAUGAGAUUCUAAAGCUGGAACUGUUCAGAUAGAUUUGCAGUAUAUAAUGGAUUUUUUUUCUAUGUAGAUUUUACCAGAAGAUCAAUUGACUUCAUGGAACAUAUAUGGGCAUACCGGUUCAGUUUUCAUUCCUUUAAUUUGUCUAAAUCAAAAUUGACAUGGAUGAAAUUGGUGUUGCUAAUGAUCUUGAUCCUAAAUAUAUUUCUUAUCACAUUAUUGCAUCAAAUUAAAGGAAUUGAUUUGAAUUUCAA